AUAUGGUGCAAAUGUCAUCAUCUUUGAAGGAAUCAUGGCCUUUGCAUAUAAGGAUUUGCGAGAUUUGAUGGAUAUGAAGGUUUUUGUUGAUGCUGAUCCUGAUGUUCGCUUGGCAAGACGGCUGAAAAGAGACAUCUCUGAACGAGAAAGGGACCUUGUUGGUGUCUUGCAGCAAUACAACACUUUUGUGAAACCUGCCUUUGAUCAAUACAUAGCACCAACAGUUGUUUAUGCAGACAUUGUUGUCCCAAGAGGUGGUGAAAAUAAUGUUGCAAUUGAUCUGAUUGUGCGCCAUGUUAGAACACAGCUGGAACAGAGAGGAUUUAAUUUCAGAGCACAGCUUCGGUCGUUCCAUCAAGGACAGCCACUACCUAGUUCACUGAGUAUUUUAGAAAGUACACCACAAGUCAGAGGAUUACAUGCAAUUAUUAGGAAUGAGGAGGCCAGUCGAGAUGACUUUGUCUUUUAUUCCAAGAGGCUGAUGAGAAUUCUUAUUGAACAUGCACUUUCACUCUUACCAUUCAAAAAACAUGUGGUGACAACAAUGGAGGGCAAAAUUUAUGAAGGAAGAAAAUUUGCAGGGAAAAGGCUGUGUGGUGUAUCAAUACUGAGGGCGGGUGAAACCAUGGAGCCAGCUCUAGAGUCUUUGUGCAAAGAUGUCAGAAUAGGAAAGAUUCUCAUUCAGACCAAUGAAAUAACAUCAGAACCUGAGCUUCAUUAUCAUCGUCUUCCAAAGGGCAUUAGUGAAGAUCAUGUAAUACUUAUGGACGCUACUGUGGCAACUGGUGCAGCAGCACUCAUGGCUAUCCGAGUUUUAUUGGACCAUGAUGUUAAAGAGGAGAAUAUUUUGUUCUUGUCUUUGAUAACUGCUGAAUCAGGGGAAAAAGAGAUGUAACGAAAAACGGUCAUUCAAUAGAUCCGGGCAACGGAUUCUGAAAACUCUGUACAGCCUUUUGAAGCCAGGCCUGAACUGAAACAGGUGUCCAUACAAUAGCUUAUGCAUACCCGAAGGUCAAAAUAGUCACAGCAGCAGUUGACCCAGAAGUGAACGAUAAAUACCACGUCAUACCUGGAAUAGGGAAUUUUGGCGACCGUUAUUUU
rnacentral:misc_RNA from 1 species